rnacentral:pre_miRNA from 9 species
UCUCAAUAGCGUAAAAGUUAACUCAAAUUUGUAUGGAGUUGAAAAGUUUGCGUACGUUUGUCGCUAGGGGCGCUGUUCCAACUGCAUAAAAAUUUGAGUUAACUUUCACGAUAUCGA